AUCAUACUCCCUCCGUCCGGAAAUACUUGUCAUAGAGAUGAAUGUAUCUAGACUUAUUUUUGUUAUUGAUACAUCCAUUUUAUACAUUUUUUAGACAAGUAUUUUCUGUCGGAGGGGGGAUUAA
rfam:Hordeum vulgare subsp. vulgare, WGS project CAJW01000000 data, contig: morex_contig_1087654